UUGUGGAGUAGGAACGUCUGAUUUUGGGCCAAGCUGGCUCCAGCUUGGUGCCCCAGCCCAGGGGCCUCACCAGGACCAGGACCGGGACACUCCUUUGCUCCUCUGGGAUCUUCUGAGGCAUCUCGUUUCACGAUGAAAACACUUGAUAAGGGGACAUGAGCCUACCAGGGACCAAGCCGAGAUCCCUGCCUGGCUCCGCGUCUCUCGCUGAAGAGCUGGGGCUCCAUGCCAGCCCGGGCCAUGUCCCCGUGCCUGGGCAGAGUGGGGCCCCUGGCAGGGACCCUGGGUGGCGGCGGCCGCCGAGCCGGCCCGCAGGGGCUUGGGCAGCGUUUUGGCUGUGGCCGGGAGCCCCGCUGCUGCUCGGAGCUCUGCGGGUUCGUUCUCCCUGCCCAACUCGGGGCUGGCUGCCCUCGGGCCCCCUUCGUGGACAAGCUGGGUCCGUCCUGUGCGGAGAGAGUGAGGAGCCGGGAGUGGUUUUCUCUCGUUGGGCUUCCCAGGCUGGGGACAGCCGAGCCAGCCUGUCCUGGGGCGGGGGGAGCUCCCACCCCACCCAGCACCCUUUCCCUCUGAGGACGGAUCUGUUGUCCUGUUUAAUUUAGGAAGCCAUCAGCAUGCGCUGGCCGGUGCUGGGAUUGAUCCUCCGCAGCCCCCACCGCUGCCGGAGCUGCCGGAUCUGCCUCUGUUCCGGCAGCUGCAGAACAAGACACGGCACUGCCCGUCCUGCGGAUCAGACUGAGGGUUUUCAGCUGGGAAAGCCUGAAAUCUCCACCUCUGCUGGAAGCUGUAGUCAACACAGGAUAAAAAUAAAAGCAACCACUUUUUAAGCA